GAACUGACAUUCACAGAAAUAUUUGUGAAAAUGAGUUUUUCUAUUCAAACAUGGCACAUAUUUUUGCCAUUUAUGGCUUUUUUUGUAUCUUCCAGGGUGCUAAAGUUUUCCAUAAGGUUUUAGACAUUUCUAUACUGUGUAACAGGAUAAUUGAAGAUUCAUGCAAGACUAAUGGAUUCUUUGCGAGCAGGAUGGAUGCAUGAAGGGAACCUGAUAUCCCUGCACAAUGACAACAGCAGCAGCUAUUUAUCAGAAAAGAGAUGCUUGAACUUGCAUUUUGAUGGUGUCUGUUCCUUGGCUCUGGGGAAACCAGCCAAAGUCCUUCAGUGUCUGCAAGCCAAAGAAACCCUACAGGAAAGGAGAGCUUUGAGAAAACGUGGCACCAGGAAAUUCCCAGAGGUCUUAUGUAAAACAUCAUGACUCUUCAAAUGGCAUCAUAACCUGCGUACUGAAAAGACAUUGAAGAACAGAGAAGCAGCAAGUCUAACAGCCCAGCGCUGAGGACAGGAGUCACCCUUCUGAAGCAGAGUGAGCUUCCGAAGUUGCCUCAAAUGUAAAAUGCACCUCCACCCUUAAAGGUGAGCAUUUGGCAUUGAGCAUGCUGCAGGCUCUUAGGGAAGAACACCUGACCUUUUGACCCUGAAUGGCUAUGAACCUGGGCUGAUCCUUCCAGACAUGAGAGAGCCACACUCUGACAGUCGUGCAGUAGGACUCGGCACAGUGGCUAGUACACGCAAGGCAUCCUGAGCUCCACGGGAACACCUUUAUCCCAUAAAGCAGGGGUGCCUGGGACUCUUACCAUAUGCCUCUGUCAGUGGCCUCUGCCUGCCCAUGCACGGCCGGGAGGAAGCCGGCACCCCGCUGAAGUGGGUCCUGAGCUUCGUCUCUGUGCGUGAGUGUGCGUAAGAACUCACUGACACGUUGCGUGACCCGAGUCUACAGUUCACACAGUCCACUUUUGAGGCUAAUAAAAUAUACCUGGUUGCUGUUGUUUAGUCGC
ensembl:lncRNA